UAGGGUCAUACCACGUUAAAACACCGAUUCUCGUACGAUCACUGAAGUUAAGCAACAUCGAGCCUGGUCAGUACAUAGAUGAGCGGCAGCUUGCGAAUACUAGAUGCU